rnacentral:rRNA from 1 species
UACAGAGGGUGCGAGCGUUAAUCGGAAUUACUGGGCGUAAAGGGCGCGUAGGCGGUUCAAUAAGUUGGAUGUGAAAUCCCUGGGCUUAACCUAGGAACUGCAUACAAUACUGUUUAACUGGAGUGCUGUAGAGGGUAGUGGAAUUUCCGGUGUAGCGGUGAAAUGCGUAGAUAUCCGAAGGAACACCAGUGGCGAAGGCGGCUGCCUGGACAGACACUGACGCUGAGGCGCGAGAGCGUGGGGAGCAAACAGG